GAUGAACGCUGGCGGCGUGCUUAACACAUGCAAGUCGAACGGUGAACGAGGGAGCUUGCUCCCUCCGGAUCAGUGGCGAACGGGUGAGUAACACGUGAGUAACCUGCCCCAGACUCUGGGAUAAGCACUGGAAACGGUGUCUAAUACCGGAUACGAACUUCAGCCGCAUGGCUUGGAGUUGGAAAGAAUUUCGGUCUGGGAUGGACUCGCGGCCUAUCAGCUUGUUGGUGAGGUAACGGCUCACCAAGGCGACGACGGGUAGCCGGCCUGAGAGGGUGACCGGCCACACUGGGACUGAGACACGGCCCAGACGCCUACGGGAGGCAGCAGUGGGGAAUAUUGCACAAUGGGCGCAAGCCUGAUGCAGCAACGCCGCGUGAGGGACGACGGCCUUCGGGUUGUAAACCUCUUUUAGUAGGGAAGAAGCGAAAGUGACGGUACCUGCAGAAAAAGCACCGGCUAACUACGUGCCAGCAGCCGCGGUAACAC
rnacentral:rRNA from 1 species